rnacentral:rRNA from 1 species
GUGAAGUGUCGGAUCGCGGCGAUGUGGGCGGUUCGCUGCCGGCGACGUCGCGAGAAGUCCACUGAACCUUAUCAUUUAGAGGAAGGAGAAGUCGUAACAAGGUUUCCGUAGGUGAACCUGCGGAAGGAUCAUUGUCGAUGCCACGCGAAAAGAGCGACCCGCGAACCGGUUGGAACGAACUCCCGGCGGGGGAGGCCGAGGCCCCCCCGACGAAAAACGAACCCCGGCGCCCCAGGCGCCAAGGAAAAGAAACGAAGCAGGGCACGUCCCGUGCCAUGUGCAUCACAUCCGAAACGACUCUCGGCAACGGAUAUCUCGGCUCUCGCAUCGAUGAAGAACGUAGCGAAAUGCGAUACUUGGUGUGAAUUGCAGAAUCCCGUGAACCAUCGAGUCUUUGAACGCAAGUUGCGCCCGAGGCCACUAGGCCGAGGGCACGCCUGCCUGGGUGUCACGCAGCGUCGCCAACGCCCGGUCCUCCGGGCGCGGCGGAGGAUGGCCUCCCGGGAGCCUCGCCUCCCGGCCGGCCGAAAAAGGGGCCCGACGUGACGGCCGCCACGGUCGACGGUGGUUGAGCGGGCACUCGCUCGAGGCCAAGACGUGAGCGUGCCGUCCCACGGCGGGGGCCCGUCGGCGGGGGCGUGCGGCGGCACGGCCCCCCACCCGUACGCGACCCCAGGUCAGGCGGGGCUACCCGCUGAGUUUAAGCAUAUCAAUAAGCGGAGGAAAAGAAACUAACGAGGAUUCCCCUAGUAACGGCGAGCGAC